CAAAGUAGAGCUAAAAUAGAACAGCAUUUCAUUUACACUGAAGAGAAUUAUCGUGCAAAUCGGUUUACUUUGA
rnacentral:tRNA from 1 species